rnacentral:lncRNA from 10 species
GGUUUUGGGAUAAUUAGUGAAAGAUGAGAGUUAUCUUGAAAUUCCUUUUGUUUGCAGGACUGCAUGUUUGGCUGUUCUGUGGGGGUCCAGGCUGUGUAAAGGUCACACGUAGGAGUUUGAAAUUCUUGCUUCAGGCCAUAUGGAGUGGAUAUUCCUUCCAGAAGGAAAUUACAGACCACUCUCUGUUUCUACUCAACUGCUUUUCAAUCCCCUUGGAUAUUAAUCAAUUUACAGAAUCACUGAGUCUAGAGAAGAAACCACACAUAUCAGCUUUAAGUUGCAAGUUAAGUUUGAGAUAAGUUCAAUUUUAAAAAAUCAAAUUAUAAAUGCAUUGGAAGAAAAUUUUUUAAAAUAUUGUUAUGAUUUGGGGGAAGGUAGAGAAAAUCUUUAUAACUGGGGAUCCCAGGACAAAAGUCAUAGUGAAAAAUAUUGCUAAACUUAAGGGCUUAAAACACACAUACACAUACACACACAUUCAAAAUUUCUGAAUGAUAAAAAAUAUAUUCUGAUAUAUUUUGAAAUUUAUCAAGC